AAGGUUUCCGUAGGUGAACCUGCGGAAGGAUCAUUAUUGAAGUUGAAUGCAGGGGUUGUCGCUGGCCUGUUACAAGGCAUGUGCACGCCUUUGUACUUCUAAUUCAUCUUCCCUUUGUGCACUCUUGGCGUAGUUCAAGGCUGACCCUUUUCAAGUGCUUUGUUGCAUUUGGUUUGAAGACUGCGGACUUGGUUCGCUUUCUUUGUGUUUGAUGCCUUGGACUAUUGCACCCUUUAUAAACUCGUAUAAUCUUUGAAUGUCUUGUUUACUAGGUCUUUGACCUGUAAAUCUCUAUACAACUUUCAGCAAUGGAUCUCUUGGCUCUGGCAUCGAUGAAGAACGCAGCGAAAUGCGAUAAGUAAUGUGAAUUGCAGAAUUCAGUGAAUCAUCGAAUCUUUGAACGCACCUUGCACCCUUUGGUAUUCCGAAGGGUAUGCCUGUUUGAGUGUCAUUUCAUUUCUCAACCAAUAGACUUGAUUGUCGACUUGGCUUGGAUGUGGAGGUUUGCGGGCUUCAUUCGAGGUCGGCUCCUCUUAAAUGCAUUAGUGGAACUCUGUUCGUAUUCACUUGGCGUGAUAGUUCUAUCGUCGUCUCGUGUUGAAUAGUGGUCUGCUUCUAACUGUCUUAACAGACAAAGCUCUCUUGUAUUUGACCUCAAAUCAGGUAGGACUACCCGCUGAACUUAAGCAUAUCAAUAAGCGGAGAGAAAAGGAACUAAACAAGGAUUCCCCUAGUAACUGCGAGGAAAGGGGGGAA
rnacentral:rRNA from 1 species